rnacentral:lncRNA from 1 species
CCUUGAAAGGUCUCUAUGCUCCAUGCUGUGCCUGGAUGGCACUUCUACUGUCCCAGACCAUGUUGAAGCCUGAGGUUCAUGUGGAUGUCUGAAGUCCUACAGCAGCCAGGAGCCAUGGUGAUAUCCCUGGUCUAAGGAGAGUCAGCCAAGGAUACAAGCCUGAAUCAUACUGCUGGAAUCCCAAGAACAGACCAGAAGGCAUCUGAAGAGUCAGUGGGAACUGCUUAGCUUUAGACAGCUCAUAAAACAGGAGGGUUUCUACAUAGCUCUGGCUGUAACAGAACUCACUAUGUAAAGAAGGCUGGCCUUGAACUCUCAGAGAUUCACCGGGUCUCUGCUUCCCAGAAUGCUGGGAUUAAAGGU